rnacentral:lncRNA from 1 species
GGGUUCUCUUCCACCCCCGCCCUUCUCCGCCUUUUCUGCCUUCCACUCACGGGUUUCUCAGGUUCCUUGUUGAGUGGCUGUGUUUUUUUUCUUUCCCUUCCACAGGGUGAAAACUUCCCCAGUUUCCAAUUUGUGCGUGCUCAGCCCUGGGGCUUGAUGAAGACAAAAUUGGUUGUUGAGAUGCUCACUAUUUACAGAGAAAAACCAAACUGCCGUUGCUGGGGGUGCGGCCUCGCUGGUGUGAGGACCUCGGCUCCAUCCCCAGGCCUGCAAAGUAAAAAAGAAAAGAAAAAGAAAAUUGAAAGGCGGCUGCUCCUGCCCCACCCCCUCCUGGCUGGUGUCUGGGGCCAGCCCAGCCUGGCUGAGCACACAGGAAAUGAAAUGGCUCAUCGCUUCGCCCUUUAGACCUGAGAGAGGGGAGGGCGGGUCUGGAGGACCCCAGGAUGGCGUGUCAGAGGCCCUAGGGGCUUGGGCUUUGUCCAGCCACUGAGCCCCGGCUGCCACCCUGCCCACCAGCCUCACCUGAGGUCCCUCUCUUCUCUCCUGGCCCUGUCUAUGUCCUGCUCUUCCAGAAAGGCUGAAGUGACCCUGCCAUUACUCACCGCCAGGUCCCUGCCGGCUGCAGCUCUCAGACUCAGGUUAGCCUGGGGUGGACAGGGAGCUCCUGGGGCCCUGUCCCCCCUUGGGGCAGUGUGGAGAGAAGCAGCCAACAUUCCUGGUGUCCCCCAGGUACCUGCUGAAGUGAAUCCCUGCAGAUGCUGCCUUAUAAACAGCUGCUGGAAUUUUCAACUGUGCUGUCGGGUUGGGGAGGAGGAAGUCCCCUGGGAGGGUGGUGGCCAUGAAGCCAGUUCAGAAGGGCACAGCACAGCUUUCUUUCAGCCCUGAAUUCUUUCUUCUUUUCUUCUCUUCGCGUGCUGGGGAUGGAACCCAGGGCCCCUCCUUGCUAGGCGAGGGCUCCCCGCUGAGCCCCACCCUGGCCCGCAGCCUUCACCUCGGGGCUGUGCUUUGCUCUGCUGGUGGGAGAGGGGAAGCGGUUCCGGGCACUUCCACAUUUGCAAACACCCUCGCAUUCUCAGUUUCCCUCUUAUGUUGGGACUCAGAACUUGAUCCCCCCAACUAUGGCACUCCUUGCUCCUGCCUUGCGGUCCCCAUCCCCAGGCCCAGACUGGAAUUGCAGGCAUGAGCCACCACACCCAGCCUCUCUCUAGCCCUUCACCCGAGUAAGUCACAGGACUCAGAAUUCCUCACCCCCAGCGGGUCCCAGGAACCAGAACUCCUCUCCCCUAACGCCAGCCACGGAACCUGGAAGGAGGCCCUUUCUUCUCCUGGGCUGGGGUGAGCGCAGCGGCGGGGCAGUCUAGCGUCCCUGGGGCCCUGCGCUCCAUCCGCCCCAUCCGCCCCAUCCGCAGCUACUGCAAUCAAGAGACAAACUAAACCCAUUCUCCCUCGGAGACCCCCAUUGCAGAGGGUCCAUUGCAGAGGGUCCUGCCCCACGUCCCGGAGGAAGAGAGCUGCACAGAGAUGCCAAGACGAGUCUGCACCCCUCAGUCUGUUCUCGUUUUUGUC